rnacentral:rRNA from 1 species
AUUGAACGCUGGCGGCAGGCCUAACACAUGCAAGUCGAACGAGUGGCGGACGGGUGAGUAAUGUCUGGGAAACUGCCUGAUGGAGGGGGAUCACUACUGGAAACGGUAGCUAAUACCGCAUACUAUCAGAUGUGCCCAGAUGGGAUUAGCUGGUUGUUGGGGUAACGGCCCACCAAGGAGACGAUCCCUAGCUGGUCUGAGAGGAGGACCAGCCACACUGGAACUUAGACACGGGCCCGACUCUGACGGGAGGCAGCAGUGGGGAAUAUUGCACAAUGGGCGCAAGCCUGACGCAGCCAUGCCGCGUGUAUGAAGAAGGCCUUCGGGUUGUAAAGUACUGUCAGCGGGGAGGCGUUACCCGCAGAAGAAGCACCGGCUAACUCCGUGCCAGCAGCCGCGGUAAUUC